rnacentral:rRNA from 1 species
GAAGCAGCCAUGCCGCGUGCAAUGAUGAAGGUCUUAGGAUUGUAAAAUUCUUUCACCGGGGACGAUAAUGACGGUACCCGGAGAAGAAGCCCCGGCUAACUUCGUGCCAGCAGCCGCGGUAAUACGAAGGGGGCUAGCGUUGCUCGGAAUUACUGGGCGUAAAGGGCGCGUAGGCGGAUCGUUAAGUCAGAGGUGAAAUCCCAGGGCUCAACCCUGGAACUGCCUUUGAUACUGGCGAUCUUGAGUGUGAGAGAGGUAUGUGGAACUCCGAGUGUAGAGGUGAAAUUCGUAGAUAUUCGGAAGAACACCAGUGGCGAAGGCGACAUACUGGCUCAUUACUGACGCUGAGGCGCGAAAGCGUGGGGAGCAAACAGGAUUAGAUACCCUGGUAGUCCACGCCGUAAACGAUGAUUGCUAGUUGUCGGGCUGCAUGCAGUUCGGUGACGCAGCUAACGCAUUAAGCAAUCCGCCUGGGGAGUACGGUCGCAAGAUUA